rnacentral:misc_RNA from 1 species
AUCUGUCUCAAUCACCUGUGUGCCCAUCUG